AUUGAACGCUGGCGGCAGGCCUAACACAUGCAAGUCGAGCGAGCGGCGCACGGGUGAGUGAUGUCUGGGAAGCUGCCUGAUGGAGGGGGAUAACUACUGGAAACGGGAGCGAAUACCGCAUACGCUCAGAUGUGCCCAGAUGGGAUUUGCGCGUAGGGGGGGUAACGGCUCACCUAGGCGACGAUCCCUAGCUGGUCUGAGAGGAUGACCAGCCACACUGGAACUGAGACACGGCCCAGACUCCUACGGGAGGCAGCAGUGGGGAAUAUUGCACAAUGGGCGCAAGCCUGAUGCAGCCAUGCCGCGUGUGUGAAGAAGGCCUUCGGGUUGUAAAGUACUUUCAGCGGGGAGGCGUUACCGGCAGAAGAAGCACCGGCUAACUCCGUGCCAGCAGCCGCGGUAAUUC
rnacentral:rRNA from 1 species